GGCUGGUCCAAAGGUAGUGAGAUCUCACAAGGAUUGCUUACAGUCAAUUACUGGUUGACCUAUUUGUCUACCGCCCCACCCCCGGCCCCCACCCCUCACUACUGCACUUGACUAAUCUUAA
rnacentral:Y_RNA from 1 species